AGAAACCAACCGGGAUUGCCUCAGUAACGGCGAGUGAAGCGGCAAGAGCUCAAAUUUGAAAGCUGGCCCCUCCGGGGUCCGCGUUGUAAUUUGCAGAGGAUGCUUCGGGAGCGGCCCCCAUCUAAGUGCCCUGGAACGGGCCGUCAUAGA
rnacentral:rRNA from 1 species